GACGAACGCUGGCGGCGUGCCUAAUACAUGCAAGUAGAACGCACAGUUUAUACCGUAGCUUGCUACACCAUAAACUGUGAGUUGCGAACGGGUGAGUAACGCGUAGGUAACCUGCCUGGUGGCGGGGGAUAACUAUUGGAAACGAUAGCUAAUACCGCAUAAUAUUGAUUAUUGCAUGAUAAUUGAUUGAAAGAUGCUAUUGCAUCACUACCAGAUGGACCUGCGUUGUAUUAGCUAGUAGGUGAGGUAACGGCUCACCUAGGCGACGAUACAUAGCCGACCUGAGGGGGUGAUCGGCCACACUGGGACUGAGACACGGCCCAGACUCCUACGGGAGGCAGCAGUAGGGAAUCUUCGGCAAUGGACGAAAGUCUGACCGAGCAACGCCGCGUGAGUGAAGAAGGUUUUCGGAUCGUAAAGCUCUGUUGUAAGAGAAGAACGGGUGUGAGAGUGGAAAGUUCACACUGUGACGGUAUCUUACCAGAAAGGGACGGCUAACUACGUG
rnacentral:rRNA from 1 species